rnacentral:rRNA from 1 species
UACAGAGGUGGCGAGCGUUGUUCGGAUUUAUUGGGCGUAAAGGGUCCGUAGGCGGUCCGGAAAGUUGGAUGUGAAAUCCUGCAGCUUAACUGCAGAACUGCAUUCAAAACUCCCGGACUCGAGUGUGAGAGGGGUAAAGGGAAUUCCCGGUGUAAGGGUGAAAUCUGCAGAUAUCGGGAAGAACACCAGUCGCGAAGGCGCUUUACUGGCUCACAACUGACGCUGAGGGACGAAAGCUAGGGGAGCAAACGGG